GACUGAAAGCGCUUAGGCCAUCAUGCAAAAGGCGGGGGCCGCUUGGGGGUGCGCAUACGGGAAGGGAAGGCGAGAUACGCCUAGGAAAAGUCAAGAGCCAAAAAAUGAGAAACUCUGGAACAAGCAACUUUUGAAUGAACAGAGGGACCAAUUUCUUUUAAAGCUCUCUUCUGUUGUAAACGUGGAGAUCCAUGUGAUGAAGAAUAAGUGUAAUUCAAUGAAGCAAGGAUGGUUCUCAUACUGAUGGGAGAUUUCAACCACCCAGAUAUCCACUGGCAAGACAACGUGGUGAGCUGCAAGUGAUCCAGGAGACUCCUAAAGUCUAUUGACAAGAACUUUCUGAUUCAGAUCUUGGACAGAACAACAAAAGCCAUCUCCCAAGUAACAGAAAGACUAGAUAAACUGGAUGACAGAUAAAAUGGAGAAGAAACAGGAUGGUAUGUUGGAGGAAUUGUCUAUUGAUUAAUUGUGAUGAACCCGUGGCAGGAUCAGAAGACCUGGAUGAAGACCAGGAUGAUCAGAAAGAAUCUGCUGAAGGAGCUGAUCAAACUGAUUAAAAUCUCAGCUUUCAAAGGCAAAUGUCUUCCUGCUUGAGCAAAUGACAGUAGUAAGUCUAUGUCACAUGCUGCCUUGUGGAGUUACCUACGUGAGCAUGGAGAAGACAUAAAGAAGUGGCAUAAAAAACUCACUCCUGCACUACAAGCACAAGUGAGAGAAUUGCAAAACAGAUCAACCAUCACUGAAAUUGCUCCAGUUACUGCAGGUAACCAGUAGAAGUGCCCUGCCCUCAGUCGUGGGGGGAAGGGAUAGUAGAGUUUAUUGUACUGUGUGGGUUCAGUGUCCUGGCACAUCAGACCCACAGAAGUAUAAGGCACUAGUAGACACUGGUAUGCAGUGCACUCUGAUGCCCUUGAGUCAUAAAGGGACAGAAUCAAUUUAUAUUUCUGGAGUGACUAGGGGCUCUCAAGAAUUGUCUGUUUUGGAGGCAGAAAUAAGCCUCACUGGUAAGGACUGGCAGGGAGUGAUAAGCAAAACUCACCUUUUAACAACUCCAUAUGGUGGUGCAUAAAGCCAGUGGCGAGUGGAGGUUGAUGGUAGACUACCGUGGCCUGAAUGAAGUCACACCUCCUCUGAGUCCUGCUGCGCUGGAUGUGUUAGAACUCCAGUAUGAACUGGAGUCAAAAGCAGCCAAGUGGUAUGCCACCACUGACAUUGCUAAUGCCUUCUUUUCCAUUCCAUUGGGCACAGAAUGCAGGCUACAGUUUGUUUUCAUCUAGAGGGACAUCCAGUAUACCUGGAACCGUUUGCCCCAGGGGUGGAAACACAGCCCAAUCAUUUGCCACGGUCAGUCCAAAUUGCAUUGGAACAGGGUGGUGCUCCCAAGCACCUGCAGUAUGUUGAUGAUGUUGUGUGGGGCGAUACAGCGGAGGAAGUUUUCAAGAAAGGAGAGCGAAUAAUCCAAAUUAUUGCUGGUUUUGCUCUUAAGUGAAACAAAGUGAAAGGACUUGCCCAGGAAAUACAGUUCCUACGAGUAAAGUGGUAAGAUGGGCAUCAUCAUAUCCCAGCAGAUGUGAUCAACAAAAUCACUGCUAUGUCUGCACCCACUAGCAAGAAAGAGCCACAGUCUUUUCUGGGUGUAGUGGGCUUUUGGAGAAUGCAUGUUCCAAAGUACAGUCUCACUGUUAGCCCCCUUUAUCAGGUGAUGCGGAAGAAGAACCAUUUUACAUAGGGCCCUGAGCAGCAGUGUGCUUUUGAGCAAAGUGAACAGGAGAUAGCCCGUGCCGUGGCCUUGGGGCCCGUGCAGAUGAGACAGGAUGUAAAGAACAUCCUCUGCACUGCUUCUGGAGACAAAGGUCCCACUUGGAGUCUGUGUCAAAGAGCUUGGACUGGCAACACAAGGGUGAAUUAUUUCUAGCUCAGUGGACCCAUGAGACCGCGGACCAUCAAGGAGGAGAUGCAGUGUAUAAGUGGGCUGGAGACCAAGGGGUGGAGUUAACUAUUGCGCAGGUUAUUUAUGACUGUGAAACAUGUGCCACAAUUAAACAAGCCAAGGGGAUGAAGCCUCUGUGAGGGGAAGGGCGAAGGCAAAAGUGUAAAUAUGGGGAGGCAUGGCAGGUUGAUUAUAUCACCUUGCCACGAUCUCGUGAUCGUAAGCAAUAUGUACUUACCAUGGUGGAGGCAACUACUGGGUGGCUUGAAACAUAUCCAGCACCCCAUACCCCAUACUGCCUGGAACAGCAUAUUAUGUCUCAAGAAACAAGUCCUGUGGUGACAUGGCACUCCAGAAAGAAUUGAGUCCAAUAAUGGGACUCACUUCAAAAAUUCUCUUGUAAAUACUUGGGCCAAAGAUCAUGGCAUUGAGUGGAUGUAUCGUAUCCCCUACCAUGCACCAGCUUCUGGUAAAAUUGAAUGGUAUAGUGUGUUGUUAAAAACUAAGUGUUGUGGUUCUGUGAUUUUUUUGUUGUUGUUGUUGUCGGUAUUCCACAUCAGAACAUCAUGUAAAACAGUGGGAGUGAAAGACUUAAUGUUCUGGUUCUGUGGACUGCCCUUUUUGGGAAUUUUGGGCUCUCGGAUGGGAGGGGAGGAGAGGCAUUCUCAGAGGACCUGGUGAGCAGAGGAAGAAAGGUGGAGCUCCUGGCAGAACACCUUCCUCCCUCUCGGUUUGCCGCGGAGAAAAGCACGUGCUUCCCUGCAGUGUACAAGUAUAAGAUCUUGUAUUUUGGGACACUCUUUCCUCUCCCAUUUGUUUGAUUUUGUUGGAUUUAGUAAAUUACUGUUCCUCCACAGAUCGUUGCCGUUUUUGGGGGUUUUUUUUGUUUGUUUGUUUGUUAGACCCAUCUGCUAUCUCCCUACUCUUCCCCCUCUCCUGGAGCGCCCACAAUGCGCCCUGCCUCACGAGCUGGGGUCAGCUGCGCUGCGCUGUUAAAAGGUAUUCCACAUCUUAACAUCAUGUAAAGCAAUGGGAGUUAAACGGUUAAUGUUGUGGUUCCGUGGACUGCCAUUUUUGGGUGUUUGGUUCUUAGAGGCAAGGGGAGGAGCAGCAUUCCCCUGAGAAAGAAAGGUGGAGCUCCUGGUAGGUCAGUCUGCCUCUCUCUUGCUCGCUCUUUCUUUGUGGCAGUGAAGCACGUGGUCCCCCUGCAUUCUAUAGAGUAAGGCCUUGGUUUUGGACACUCUCUCAUUUUGUUUGAUUUGGCCUCAAUUCCAAUUGUACUGUGUUGUAUUGUAUUAUCUUGCAUUCUGAGAUCAUAUUUAGUAAAUUAACAUUCCUCCUCAGAUUGUUGCCACUGCUCUGUUUUUUUGUUUGUUUUCUGUUUUUUUUUUUUUUUUGGUUUUUUUUUUUUUUUUAGAUCCAUCUACUAUCUUCCUACCCUUUUCACCUUUCAUCUAGAGAUAACUCUGUGACAGUGAAGGAUGUUAAAAAAAUGGCAAGAAGGGAUUCUACGAGUAUAAAGGCUGGAAGAGACAGGCUAAAGGGAGUAUACCUCCUCUGCUAAAUGGAAGAGAAGUGGCUACGAGAGAUACAGAGAAGCCUAAAGUACUCAGAAACACUAAAAGAAUAUGAAUUGUAACAUGUCCUGUUUGUUCUGAUGAUGAAACUGAAUGAGAUCAACCCCUCCUAUGAAAAAGGCCAACCUGCAUUUUGGGGUGGACAAAGAGGCUAUGAAACCCUAUGGGACCUGAAUGAAAGACCUAGAGAUGGGAGACCCAGUGCCGUGAAGAUGCUACAGACAAUGUGGGCCUCCUUGUUUAGGAUCCAAAUUAUGGGCACCAGUAAUCAGGGAAAUAUGUUUCUCUGGAACACCGAGGUUGAUCAAGAUCUCUCAACCUUUUUGACAGUAUUGAGCAGAAGAUUUCUGUUCAGGAAAGAGAGGAAAAGAAGAGAGCUUGCAGUGAGUAAGAGACUAGAAGCUUCUUUCCUGAAUGGUUUAAUGGUAUGAAUUUCAACUACACUUGCAGGAAGAAGUCCAUCACUUCGCCAGGGUGGAAGAGCAGAAAUGUAUUCUGCUUCCUGUUGCACAGGAGAGCAAACAUUUGUUUGCCAAGACUUUUUAAGUGUUUAAGGUAAGUCAUUAGAAAGUUAAAGCAUGCAAAUAGGGAAAAUGAGUAACAAGUCAAGUUUCUUAGAUUAACAUAGCAAUUUAGAGGAAUAAUUAUAUGAAGUUGUGGUGGGUUUUACAAAUAAGCUUUUGAUAGCAGUCAUAGCAGUAUUGCAACUUCCAAUGUAGGAACUGAUGCCUGGAUGUUUAAGCAGUUGCAGAAAUGAUCCACAAAACUGUUCAGUCCAGGAAUGAAAAAAAUGGCUCAGAGUAAAAAGGUUAGAAUAAGUGUUUUCUAUUACUAAAAGCAUUAAAUGUCUGGAAUACAGUAUGAGACCUUGGUGAUUCUGUGAGUUUUGCAAGUAGAUGGUAUAGGGUGCUGAAGUUAAUUAACAUAGUAGAAAAUCAACGUUAGAACCAGAUAAGUAUCUAUCAACUUAGUCCUGGGGGAAAUUAAAGGCAUCGUUAAGUACAUCAGCCUGGUCAAAAUUCCAUAAUUUUCCCCGUAAACUUAAACUUAAUGGAUUUAAAAAUCAUUAUAGCCAUCUCUAGUCCUUCUUUUCCUGUUCUUGGAAGUCUGCAGCAAUUAUUGAACAUAAAAAGGAACUAUGAUUUUCUGGGGUAGAUACAGUCUGUGCUGGCAAUUGAGUAGGACAGCAUCCACACAGGUCAAGCCAAACUUUAAAAUAUUCUUUUUUUUAAUCACGUUAUGCCUUUAGAUAAGAGUGCAGCGGGAAGAAGUCACAUUUCUUACAAAUGGUACUGCAGAUUAUAGCUAUAGGUAAUGUAGUUCGAUCUGUAAAGUCUUAAGGUUUUGUAGAGAUGUAGACUGUUCUCUGAAUGAACACUUUUCAUUCUUUCAGCUCAUCACUCUGCUACAUAAAAGAUCUUUAGCUGGAAAGUAUGAAUGUGUUAAGGGUCACUCCCACUCUAGAAAUUCUGUUUUCUCUAAGAAUACAUCUUUUAAUACUAAGGCCUUAAAUAUUUUAGGAUUUAUUUCCUGUGUUUAUAGAUGUAGUGUAUAAAGUGUAUUUGUAUAUUUAUACUUAAUUGUAUAUUUAUAUUAAUUGUAUAUUUAUAUAAUAUAUUAAUUGUAUAUUUAUAUAUACAGUCCCGGAUAUGUAGGCUAUAUGUCUCGCUAUAACUCCUGUUAGAACAAGCCAAUUUAAUCCCUCCUUAGGAGAAAGGCAAUUGCUUUUCCUCUCAAAGCUAGGAAAACAGAGGCAAGUAAUCUCAGAGAAAGAAGUCAGAAAUUAUUCAGACUGCUGCAGAUUUAUCCUUUAAACACAGUCUUUGUGAGGAAGAGCUGUCCUCACAAUUGGACAGGACAAAAAUGGAACAUAGGUGGAAUAAACUUCUUACAGAAAAGAUUACACAGAUAAGACUGGGAGGAAUUAUGCAAUAUCUCUGGCUUGAGUGGGCAGAAUGAGUGACUUCUUGACUGUGAGAAUAGGAAACCUGAGAAAGCAGAAGGAAUAUCUGAAACCUUAAUCUGAGGGAGGGUAGGGAAGUAAGAGUUGCAGCUGUGACUGUCACAUAGACUCUCCAGAGUUAGGUGCAGUUACGCCUACGCCCUUCUGUUGGUAUUCCUGAAACACAUAGAUUCCACCAUUUCUUGCUAGGCUAAGUAUCUUCUGUUUCUCAGUGUCAUUUGACCACUGGACACAGCUUAUCCUCUGAAACUUGUUCUUUUAUUUUCAUUCCUCACAGGGUCAGUUGGAUUUUGAUCAGAAACAAAACAGUAGAGGUGGUACACACAAUAGACUGCAAUCAGAAGGGCUCACUGCCCACAUCUGGGUUACCUCCAUCUUCUUUCUGUUAGCCUAUUCUCUACUCCUAUCUGUUUCUGGAUCCUUCAGUUGCUCCAAAACAGUUAAAAACAAACCAUAUGUAAUAUAAUGACACAUGUAAUCUGUCAGGUCAGCCCUAAGACAUUUUUGCUGUUUAACUUUCCCAGAGCCAUAAAAACCCUUCCAAUUUAUUGGAUCAUGCCAACUUCACCAUAGUAUUCUUGGCUGUAACUAAAAAUUUGUAUCUGUCCAUCUUUUUUUUUCUUUUCUUUUUUUCUUUUUUUUUUUCCUGGGUCUCUUUUGACUGUAAUCUAUCCAGAUGGCCAGAUUGUGUCUGACCUUGUUCUAGCUGCUGGAGCAAAUCAAUACACUGUUAUCCUCUCCCUUCCUAAACCACUGAAUUGUAAACACCUUCCGUGUUCCUCCUUACUGUUAUUUGAUACCUGUAAGACCACUGUACUUGUGAGACCAUAAACAGCCCACUGCCCAGUUGAUGUAAUGCCUUCCAGCUUAAGAACUUCUAUCCUAGGAACUAGGUCUGUGAACAGGGAAUAGUAUUCUUGGAGUGACAGAUGACUUUUUUGAAGUACUUGUGAGUACCUAAGAACCAGAGACAUCCUGAAUGUACCAUCCAAAGUUUUCUGACUCAGGUGGUUAGAAGGGAUCUCAUGAGUUGAUCUUGUCCACUUACCUGCUAUAAGAAUGUCCACUUACAAUGGAUUGCUCAGGACCUUGUCUGGUUAAGUAAUUAACAUCUUCAGGAAUGAAUAGUCUAGAACAUUUCUAGGCAAACUCUUUCUGUGUUUUACCAUAUUCAUAGUAAAAAAUACUUUGCAUAUAUCUAAGCAGUUAUUUCUCAUGUUUCAGCUUGUGUCCAUUUCCUUCCAUCCUUCUACAGUGGAGUCUUGUUUCAUCUUCUUGGUACCCUCUGCCCAGGUAGUAGUGGACAGCAGUAAGAUCGCCCCUUAUUCUUCUCUUUUUGAGGCUGAACAAACCCAGUGCCAUCACCUCUCCACGUAUGUCAUGUGAUUAAUCUCCUGACUAACCUCGUGACUCAGUUUGGCCAGGUCUCCACAGUACUGGGAAAUGUACAGCUACCUAUAUCCAACACCUGAGAGAUCACAAGUGCUGAAUAAAAGAAAGUAAUCACUUAGCUCAACCUGCUGUGUACAUCCAGAUCAUACAGCACAGUAGGAUGUUGUCUGCCUUUGCCACAAGGGUGCACUGCUAGCUUAAAUUGAACUUGCUAUCACCUGUCACAACUCCCUUUGCCUCCAGUUCUUUUUAUACUAAAUUGCCUUCUAGACAACUUGCAUAGUUUUGUGUGUCCGUUCCAUUCCCAGGGCUUUGCCUAUGUUUAUGAUAAAAACUAGAAUAAUUCCUCUCAGUCAGAACUGGAAAAAAAUGGGAGAGCUACAAGACAAAAAUAAUAAUAAUAAUAAUUGAGUUCAUAUGGUGCUUUAUCAGCUACUUCUAAGUCAUAAUUCUUAAGACCUAGAUGUCAGCUAGCAAGUAAGAUGUAGCAUCCCUUCAAUAAAGUUACCAGAAAUAAACAAUUAAUAAGCUACUUCAAUGAUAUUUCAAUGGUGUCAAUCUAAUAACCGCUUAAUUAUUGUCUACUUCAAUAGAAAAUUAUUAGCAUUGCAUAAACCUUUGACUGAAGUUGUUGAAUAGCCCUUCCUAAGCAAUCACACAAACAAUUAGAAACUUAUUUGGCAUCUAUUUGUUUGACACAAAAAUACUGAAUUUAAGCACCAACCUAAGUCAGUACUUACUCCAGGAGUUACUGAGCUAAAACUUGAAUUUACACUUCUGGAAAUAAUAUUUAUUAAUAUCUACGAGGAGGUACCUAACUUACCAGGUAAGCAGUAAAGUCUGAGAUUCCCUGAAUUGCUUGUUAAAGACAACAAGACCUUUAAGUGCCUUGAAUGGAAAGUACAACCCUUACUGCAUUGUUUGACAGGGAACUAUCCAUUACAUUCAACCACCAGUUUUCACCCUAGACUUUUAUUUGCCACCACAACUUAGAUUUCUUAAAAAAUGCUCCCUAGUAAAACACGUAAGCUUAUCCUACGCUCGUGAUUUUUAAACGGAGACAAUUCUUUUGUUCUCAUCUCCUACAUAAAAAUAUCAGAUCAAUACACAUUUUUUCUUACAAUUGUUAUUAAUUUUGUUUAUUACAGCUUCUCAUAAAAGAAGCCCUCCAGCUCUUGAAUUAGAAUAAAUUUUCUACACUUUCAGAGAAUAAAAGGCGGAUGCAUCAAAAGACUGGACUUUGAAAAAAGUACACAUUAGCUCCAGUAGGAAGCUGAGUCAUUUACUAGGUGGCAGUUCCUGAACACAAUUUCACAAAGAGAUCUGAGGGGCAAGCAAAGCAGAUAUCCGUGCAACAGACAUCUGUUGCCCCUCCUUUGUCUCACUGCUCUAGGGCAGGCAACAGCAGGAAUGGAAUUUUCACACAGAGUAUUGAAAAUGCUGAUGCCUGCUUAUCUUUGUGCGCACCUUGGUGGUGGAAGUCCUUGAGACUAGAAUAAAAAGCAGCAGAUGGAGAGAGUCUUGCAGCAGCACAACAGUCUUGAUUUGGCUGAAGGUGGUGGGAAUGAGCAGAAAAACAGCUCCAGAGCAGAAUCUUGAAGGCCAUGGUGCAUGGUGCCUUUUUGCUCCAUUAGCCAUGAAAUUAAUAUUAAAGUUUAACACCACCCUGUAUGAUAAUGACCUCUUAGAAGAACGUGCUAAACGUAUAUGACUGUAGUACUCAACUCUCUGCCAAAUCGUGUUAAACAUCACCCCAGUAUGGGAAACAAAUAUGGCUUAGGAUAUAAGGGAAAAUAUGUUGUGGGUAGCACAGUGGAGAAGAGGGAGAGAAGGAAAAUGAGACUGAAGGAGAGAAGAGAGCUAAGAGAGAGGUAGCUGUGUUCCUCUUCUUCCACCAAGAUAGGGAUACUUUUUUUCUAAGCAUUACAUCUCACCUCUUGCAGAAAACUACCUGAGAUAGCAUGUAUUUUGCUAGCAUUAUUAUCAUAUAGAUAUAUAGAUCAUAUAGAUACAGAUAUUCACACUAUUGGCAGCUAGUUCAUUUAUUGGUUGCAAUACCCAAUAUGCUAUGUCUAUCCCUUCCAUAAAUCAUCUGUUCUUUUUAAAUGUUUGUGAAAUUGUCCAGUGAAAGUCCUGAGGGGACUCUGUCACACAGGCAUUUGUUAAUCUGUCCCAUUAAAGUCAUGAAGGGACUCUGGCAGCUCUGGAAUACCAAAAUAGAGAUUGCAAACAAUUCAAAGCACAGAACUUUCAAUUUGCUUUUAUUUCAGCUUUAUAAAGAAGGUCAUUUUACACCAAUAACUUCAAAAAAUAAACAAAACCCAACCAAGUCAAAUAAGAAUCUUUCAACAAAUAACUUACAAUUGUUCUAAAACACUUUUCUUACUUUGCUUAUUUCAUUAUGUGGCAGAUAUUGUACAGAAGUGCCACAGAAAUGGUGGUACUGAGGUCUACUUAAGCAUCCUACACAACUUUAAGUUAAAUCCAAGCAGUUAAUAUUCAGAGCACUUUAAACACAUUAAACCAUAUAGGUAAUAUCACAGCCAAAAUGCAAAAAUAUCUAUUUUAUACACAAGUUUAAAAGCGCUUCAUGAAGUUGCAUGAAUUCUAACUUACAUCACAAGUUAUUUCAAAGGAUGCUUAUUGCAGAACACCUGCAUCAAGUAAAUUUACAAGAAACAACAUUAAUCUGAGGGCUGUGUAAAAUGGUUAGUAUAUUCAAGCUUAAGUCUUGGUUACAGUGAUGUCAGUAAAGUUUUUGCUACUGACUUCACUGAUGCGAAGAUCGCUGUUAUCCGCUCAUUUUUCUAUCAGAUAAAAGGUGUAAAGAUUUGCUGAAAGAGUUACAAAAUAGCUAAUUAAAAAUUAUUUCUAUGAGGCACGCGUGCAGUAAGAGGAUGAGUUAUAAAUUUCAAAACUACAGCCUUUAGUACUAUUCCAUGUGAAAGUCACAGACACUGCAGCCAAAGCAAAUGAGAACAGAGCAAACACCUCUGUUAAACAUUGCUGAGUUCCUUUUUAAGGCCAUGUUACUGUAUUCUAGGAAGAAAGACAUCCAUAUUUAUUCUUUUUGGUAUCAUUUCCCUAGUUGUAUGGUAGAUAUGUAGUAUCAUGUUUUAACCAAGUUAUUAAAAUGCUUUUCAAACCAAAUGUUUUUCCACAUAUGACUUGAUGCAUAACUACAGAUAAGCUCCAACAGCCAUGAUUUAAAGAUGUUUAAUAUACAUAUCUACAUAAAAUUUUUGAUAUUCAUGCAGUUAAGAUGUAUAGUGAUGAGUUUGACUUCUCAGUAUGAACAGACUCAGUGAAGUUACUAGUUUCAACUUGAGAAGCUGAAGAUACCUGGGUUUUAUUAAAAAUAGUAGCAGAAUACUUGACUGCUGAAGUGCAUCGCACCAAGGUCAUAUUUUUAUGUCAGACGUAAUUUGAUUAAAAACAAUUGAAACAGAGCUGAAUAUAAUGUUAUGGAAGCCUUUUAAGUUUUGUGUUUCGAAUCAGAAGUACAUUUGAGAAGCAUUAGCUGUAUUCACUUCAGUGUGGGUGAAAAGUUAACACGCUUCAGCCUUAUGCUAUUCACUAUCAACCAAAUCAAUUAGGUGUGUUUUUUGUUUUUGAUGAUGCUUUUUCUAUUAUACCUACGGUAUACCAACUGCAUUAGAUGGAUGUGAUAUACUUUCAGCUCACUAGAUAUGUGACACCUGUCCAGAACAAACCUUCGCAGUAUACCUAUGUACAUUCUCCCUGUUGGUAGUUACUAGCUUGGAAACACUAACCUACUAAUAUAGCUCUGAAUUUCUAGACCAAAAUUAACCUUUGUCUAGCCACAGUGAGCUGGUAUUGCAAGUAGUGGGAAUAGAUACAUUCCUCAUAACGAUGGGAUCUGAAGAAAUAAAUUGCUGAAAAUAGGCCAUGCAACUUACUUCUUUAACUGAAUGUAGCAAAGUGGUACACCUUGUAGGAUCAAACACUAAUUUGCUUAAAAAAAAUAAGGGAACUACAGGCUUUGUCAAUUUAUCUUUCAAUUCUGUUCACUAAAUGUAAGACAAAAAAUGUAAAAAUAAAUUUAAACCACUACAUGCAAAUUAAAAGCUCAAAAACUGAGAAUCCUUCUGGUAACUGUUCUUAUAACAGAAGUGUAUGAAUUUGAGACAUUUAGAAACAUUUAAGACUACAUCUGCAAAAUAAUAAGCACAAAAAUUUGCAGUAACAUGCAUCUUAAUUCUGAAAAGUUUUUGGAGGCAGAUGUGAAUUGGCUGCUCACUCUUUCAUGUUUCACAACAUCAGGAUGUUGAGAAUGAAACAUAGCCACAGAAUUCUUCACACUUAAGGUUCGCAGUUUCAUGAUUAACUACGUGAAUCUAAGCUGCCUUGCACUGUCUUGGCAACAAAAGUUAGAGCUGUGCCACCUCUGAUCAGACUUACAGUUUUCUCAUCCACCUUACCUCAUAAUCUGGAACAAAUUCACCAUCUGUGAAACUGCUUGUUACACCGUAUACUCAUCACAUUUUGUUCAUGGCAUUUCCAUGCAAUAAAUAUCUCCCACUGGCAAAGAGCUAAGACAAAUCUUCUUAAAAAUUUUACAAAUAUUGCUCCAACUCUAAACAUUCUUAGCUCAAACUUCACAUAUUCCCUUGAGCUUGCACAGUACAGAAAAAUAUUAUAAAUCAUGAACAAAACCAUGCAAAAAAAACCCAAAAAACCCAAAACCACCAAACUAACUUAUCUAAAUAAAAUAUAAACCAAAUAGAACACUAAAAUAAUAAUAUUAAAUACUAUCUUGUUUGGUGUCUCAAAUAACAUAGCAUCAAUAAUUUUCUUGUCUAUUCUUUUAAUGCCAAACUUGAGAUACAACAAAAUAAGCCUUUAUUUUCCACCUUCCUCAAAUCUUUUUUCUUCAGAUACCAAAAGAAGUCUGUGCUCUUAAGUGACAUUUAGAAUAUAUAUUCAUAGUUAGUGACUAAGUUUCAUAUUUCCUUGCAGACAGAAGAGUAACUCAAAUCCCCAGAUUUACCACAAUAACAUGGAAGAGAAUUAAUAAAAUAAGAAAAUGCUUUUAGAAUAUUCCCAUAAUGUUUUUAACAGAUUAUUUCUGGCUCAGUUUAAAUUGCAUGA